GGGCGCUUGGUCUAGUGGUAUGACGCCUCAUUUGCAUUGAGGAGGUCCCGGGUUCAAUUCCCGGAGUGUCCA